CCUGGUUGAUCUUGCCAGUAGUCAUAUGCUUGUCUCACAGAUUAAGCCAUGCAAGUGAAAGUACAUAUGUAAAUAAUAUAUUGAAACUGCGAACGGCUCAUUAAAACAGUUAUAAUCUACUUGAUGUUUUUAAUAUAAGGAUAACUACGGAAAAUCUGUAGCUAAUACUUGUGAAAAUACCUUUUGAUAUAUACAUAUAUAUAUAUAUGUAUGUAUCAUUAAGGUAUGUAUUUGUUAGAUAUAAGAAUAAAAUAAAUAUAAUUGAAUUAUAACAAAGAAGAAACACAUAAAAUAUGUGUAUUAUCAAUCGAGUAUCUGACCUAUCAGCUUUUGAUGUUAGGGUAUUGACCUAACAUGGCUAUGACGGGUAACGGGGAAUUAGAGUUCGAUUCCGGAGAGGGAGCCUGAGAAAUAGCUACCACAUCUAAGGAAGGCAGCAGGCGCGUAAAUUACCCAAUUCUAAAAAAGAGAGGUAGUGACAAGAAAUAACAAUACAAUAUCGAAAAAUGAUUUUGUAAUUGGAAUGAUAGGAAUUUACAAGGUUCCUAGAGAAACAAUUGGAGGGCAAGUCUGGUGCCAGCAGCCGCGGUAAUUCCAGCUCCAAUAGCAUAUAUUAAAAUUGUUGCAGUUAAAACGUUCGUAGUUGAAUAUUAAAGAAUCCGAUGUUUCAUUUAAACUGGUUUGGGAAAACCAAAUAUAUUAUAUAUUUUGCUUUGUUCAAAAUAAGGUUUUCUAAUAAAUUAUGUUUUUAUCAGAUAUGACAGAAUCUUUUUUAAAAUCUCUUCAAUAUGCUUUUAUUGCUUUUGAGAGGUUUUGUUACUUUGAGUAAAAUUAAGUGUUCAUAACAGACGGGUAGUCAUGAUUGAGUUCAUUGUGUUUGAAUACUACAGCAUGGAAUAACAAAUAUGAAUAAGCUAAUUAUUUUUUUUUUUCAUUAUUUUUUUUGAUAUUCUUAUUAGCUUAGUUACGAUUAAUAGGAGUAGCUUUGGGGGCAUUCGUAUUCAGAUGUCAGAGGUGAAAUUCUAAGAUUUUCUGGAGACGGACUACUGCGAAAGCAUUUGCCUAAUCUAUUUCCAUUAAUCAAGAACGAAAGUUAAGGGAGUGAAGACGAUCAGAUACCGUCGUAAUCUUAACCAUAAACUAUACCGACUAGGUGUUGGAUGAAUAUAAAAAAUAUAUAAAUAUGUAGCAUUUCUUAGGGAAUGUUGAUUUUAUAUUAGAAUUGCUUCCUUCAGUACCUUAUGAGAAAUCAAAGUCUUUGGGUUCUGGGGCGAGUAUUCGCGCAAGCGAGAAAGUUAAAAGAAUUGACGGAAGGGCACCACCAGGCGUGGAGCUUGCGGCUUAAUUUGACUCAACACGGGAAAACUCACUAGUUUAAGACAAGAGUAGGAUUGACAGAUUAAUAGCUCUUUCUUGAUUUCUUGGAUGGUGAUGCAUGGCCGUUUUUAGUUCGUGAAUAUGAUUUGUCUGGUUAAUUCCGAUAACGAACGAGAUCUUAACCUGCUAAUUAGCGGUAAGUACACUAUAUUUUUAUUUGAAAUUGAAUAUAGGUAAUUAUACAUGUUUAUUCAGUGUUCAAAUUAGGAUAUUUUUUUAUUAAAAUAUUCUUUUCCCUGUUCUACUAUAAUAAUUUGUUUUUUUUUACUCUAUUUCUCUCUUCUUUUAAGAAUGUACUUGUUUGAUUAAAUAAAGCUUCUUAGAGGAACAGUGUGUAUCUAACACAAGGAAGUUUAAGGCAACAACAGGUCUGUGAUGUCCUUAGAUAAACUAGGCUGCACGCGUGCUACAAUGAUAUAUAUAACAAGUUGUUAAAAAUGUACUUAUAAAUAAGUGUGUACAAUUUUUCCUGUACUGAAAAGUAUAGGUAAUCUUUAUCAGUAUAUAUCGUAAUUGGGAUAGAUUAUUGCAAUUAUUAAUCUUGAACGAGGAAUGCCUAGUAAGCAUGAUUCAUUAGAUUGUGCUGACUACGUCCCUGCCCUUUGUACACACCGCCCGUCGCUCCUACCGAUUGAAAGAUAUGAUAAAUUGUUUGGAUAUGAAUUAAAAUAAUGAAAUUUUAUAUUUCUGAUUUUUUCUAGAAGAACUGUAAAUCCUAUCUUUUAAAGGAAGGAGAAGUCGUAACAAGGUUUCCGUAGGUGAACCUGCGGAAG
rnacentral:rRNA from 1 species